CAGUCACCACGGUAAUACAGAGGGUGCGAGCGUUAAUCGGAUUUACUGGGCGUAAAGCGUGCGUAGGCGGCUUCUUAAGUCGGAUGUGAAAUCCCUGAGCUUAACUUAGGAAUUGCAUUCGAUACUGGGAAGCUAGAGUAUGGGAGAGGAUGGUAGAAUUCCAGGUGUAGCGGUGAAAUGCGUAGAGAUCUGGAGGAAUACCGAUGGCGAAGGCAGCCAUCUGGCCUAAUACUGACGCUGAGGUACGAAAGCAUGGGGAGCAAACAGGAUUAGAUACCCGCGUAGUCCCUGUCUCUUAUAC
rnacentral:rRNA from 1 species